rnacentral:rRNA from 1 species
AGGGUUUGAUCCUGGCUCAGGAUGAACGCUGGCGGCGUGCCUAAUACAUGCAAGUCGAACGAGGUGCUUUUGUAGCAAUACGAGAGUAUCCUAGUGGCGAACGGGUGAGUAACGCGUUGGUGACCUACCCCAAAGUGUGGAAUAACAGUCCGAAAGGAUUGCUAAUACCGCAUGUGGUUAUUGGAUCUAGAAACCGAUAACUAAAGGAGCAAUUCGCUUUGGGAGGGACCUGCGUCCCAUCAGCUAGUUGGUGAGGUAAUGGCUCACCAAGGCUACGACGGGUAGGGGACCUGAGAGGGUGACCCCCCACAAUGGAACUGAAACACGGUCCAUACACCUACGGGUGGCAGCAGUAGGGAAUAUUGCACAAUGGGCGAAAGCCUGAUGCAGCAACGCCGCGUGUGCGAUGAAGGCCUUCGGGUCGUAAAGCACUUUUCUGGGAGAUGAGAAAGGACAGUAUCUCAGGAAUAAGUCUCGGCUAACUACGUGCCAGCAGCCGCGGUAAAACGUAGGAGGCGAGCGUUAUCCGGAUUCACUGGGCGUAAAGCGCGUGCAGGUGGCUUGGUAAGUUAGGCGUGAAAUCUCCCGGCUCAACUGGGAGAGGUCGUCUAAUACUACCGGGCUAGAGAGCAGAAGAGGAAGAUGGAAUUCCCGGUGUAGUGGUGAAAUGCGUAGAUAUCGGGAGGAACACCAGUGGCGAAGGCGAUCUUCUGGUCUGUUUCUGACACUCAGACGCGACAGCUAGGGUAGUAAACGGGAUUAGAGACCCCGGUAAUCCUAGCCGUAAACGAUGUGAACUUGGCGUUGGUGGGUUAAACUCCAUCAGU